rnacentral:lncRNA from 1 species
CUCCAGGCUUGUCCUGAAUUUCUUAAUUAUUCUGGUCCACAGAAUGCAUAAGAAAACAACUGCACUGUGUGACUCCUGGGAUCCUGGAGGUGAAUUGCUGUCCAUGAAUUUCCCUUUUCUCCUCUAGCAUGAAAAGCACGGCGCUAAAUCCAUGGGAAGGGGUAGAAGUUGAGUGUGGCACCAUCUCUGCUGAACUAGAGAAACUUUCUGCAAUGAAUUGCUCAAUCACUUCAUUUGGAAGAAGAGCAACUGCUAUCAGCUCUAAUUGGCUCCCAGAACCCAGGAAUGCUUCCCUGCUAGAAAAUGAUACCACAGAGAAUCCAAAAGUGGCUCCUGGUUCUGGUCCAUGGCCUGACCUCCCUCUUCCCAGAACUGUGGCUUUGAGAUGCCCCAGGUGUGCAGACAUUUGGAAAGUCAGGUUGGCUCACGGGCUCCCACUGAAGCUGUCAAUGAGUGUCUGGGUUGACUUUUCCUUUCAGGAGACACUUCCCUAAAUAAUACAUCUUCCAAGCUGGGAUUGCCAUGACAACAGUUCAAUUUGAAUUACAAAACAAUUAGAUAUCAAACCCCCACGUAAUCCAUCUCCAUGUAAGUCUGUGCCAAGAGGCAGGUAGAAACUUCAACAUCUUCAUUUCAGGGGUUGGAAACCCUGCUGCUGCCUGCCAUGGUUUGAUGGAGAAUUGUACUAAAAAGCUCCCAAAAGUCUUAUUUAGAUAAAGAUGCUCAAUUCCCCCUUGAAUGGGUGUCCUGUAAGUGGUUUAGCUUCCUUUAAAACAAAAUAGCCAAUAAACACCUGUCUUGUCCCA